rnacentral:misc_RNA from 1 species
AGAAGGACGGAAGCGCGAGUGUGUUGCAACUACCCGACCCCUCUCUUCCGGAAGCCGGGCCCGCGCCGCUGUCGUUUCGCCACUACCAGCGGGUCGAGGGCAGCUUCUCGGUGCCGGCGGGCACGACCGUUCGUUCGGUGCAGGUGACGAUCAGCUCGGGAGGCGAGACCCGGGCCCAGCAGACGUUCUCGAUGUAGGAGGCAAGAUGUUCGGAUCUAAGCAAGCAACACCCAAGACCAUCGGCACGCUGGUCGGGGCAGGAACCACGGUUGAAGGAAUCUUGUCGUACACCGGUGGGCUGCGAAUCGACGGCACCGUGAAAGGUGACGUGCGCUGCAUCGACGGCCAGCCGGCGAUGGUCAUCAUCAGCGAACUAGGCAACGUGAUCGGCGAAGUCCACGCCGCGCACCUGGUGGUCAGUGGGAAGGUGAACGGUCCGAUCUUCGUGUCGGACGUUAUCGAACUCCAGCCCAAGGCCCAUGUGGUCGGCGACGUUCAUUACCGUGCGCUUGAAAUCCACCAUGGCGCCGUGGUUGAGGGCCGUCUGAUCCACGACGUCCCGGACGCGCGGCCGGCAUUGAAAUUGGCUGCCGGAGGUACCACCUCCGAACCGGCAUGACUGCACCUACCGACUCGGCGUUGCCUAUAAUGGCUCGCAGGUCCUCGCAAGGAGAAAGCAAUGAACGCUGCUGUUGAGAUGCCCGCCCCGCUGCUCUUCACCGAUGCAGCAGCGUCGAAAGUCAAAGCGCUUAUCGACGAGGAGGGCAACCCGUCGCUGAAGCUGCGCGUGUUCGUGCAGGGAGGCGGCUGCUCUGGCUUUCAGUACGGCUUCACAUUUGACGAAGUCGUCAAUGACGACGACGCAACGAUGGAAAAGAAUGGCGUGACCCUGCUGAUCGAUUCGAUGAGCUACCAGUAUCUGGUCGGCGCAGAAAUCGAUUACAGAGAGGACCUCGAGGGUGCGCAGUUCGUGAUCAAGAACCCGAACGCGACGACAACCUGCGGGUGCGGAUCGUCCUUCUCGGCCUAGAGUCCGGCUGUUCGGAUACGAAGGGGCGCCUCUGGCGCCCCUUUUUACUGCCGUCAGCGGGGAUAGAUCGCGCCAAGCACACGCGCACCGCGCGCUCCAGUGACCUCAGGCACAGCGCCCGGCUCGCGUUGCACGCAACGGCGCGCGAGCCAGGCGAACGCCAGCGCUUCGACGUGAUCGUGCGGAACGCCGAGGGUAUCGGACAAACGCACCGGGCGCGGUGCGAGGGCGCUUUCAAGGGCGCGCAUCAGCGCGUCGUUGCGCGCCCCUCCCCCGCAGACGACGACGUCCUGAGCGGCGUCACACCAUUGCCGGAUCGCGUUUGCAAUCGCAUGGGCGGUGAACUCGGUCAACGUGCGCUGCACGUCUUCGGGGCGGAUCGCCGAUCCUUUCAACUUCGCGUCCAGCCAGUUGUCGGAAAAGAGUUCCCGGCCGGUGCUCUUCGGCGGUGCAGCCGCCAGGAACGGCUCGUCG